rnacentral:rRNA from 1 species
UGGGGAAUAUUGCACAAUGGGCGCAAGCCUGAUGCAGCCAUGCCGCGUGUGUGAAGAAGGCCUUCGGGUUGUAAAGCACUUUCAGCGAGGAGGAAGGUGGUGAGCUUAAUACGCUCAUCAAUUGACGUUACUCGCAGAAGAAGCACCGGCUAACUCCGUGCCAGCAGCCGCGGUAAUACGGAGGGUGCAAGCGUUAAUCGGAAUUACUGGGCGUAAAGCGCACGCAGGCGGUUUGUUAAGUCAGAUGUGAAAUCCCCGGGCUCAACCUGGGAACUGCAUUUGAAACUGGCAAGCUAGAGUCUCGUAGAGGGGGGUAGAAUUUCCAGGUGUAGCGGUGAAAUGCGUAGAGAUCUGGAGGAAUACCGGUGGCGAAGGCGGCCCCCCUGGACGAAGACUGACGCUCAGGUGCGAAAGCGUGGGGCAGCAAACAGGAUUAGAUACCCUGGUAGUCCACGCUGUAAACGAUGUCGAUUUGGAGGUUGUGCCCUUGAGGCGUGGCUUCCGGAGCUAACGCGUUAAAUCGACCGCCUGGGGAGUACGGCCGCAAGGUUAAAACUCAAAUGAAUUG